rnacentral:rRNA from 1 species
CAGCCGCCGCGGUAAUACGUAGGGUGCGAGCGUUAAUCGGAAUUACUGGGCGUAAAGCGUGCGCAGGCGGUGAUGUAAGACAGUUGUGAAAUCCCCGGGCCCAACCUGGGAACUGCAUCUGUGACUGCAUCGCUGGAGUGCGGCAGAGGGGGAUGGAAUUCCGCGUGUAGCAGUGAAACGCGUAGAUAUGCGGAGGAACACCGAUGGCGAAGGCAAUCCCCUGGGCCUGCACUGACGCUCAUGCACGAAAGCGUGGGGAGCAAACAGGAUUAGAUACCCGCGUAGUCCCUGUCUCUUAUAC